CAUUGGACCUCUGGGGAAGUUGGUGAGGAGGUGAUAUUUAACCUGAGACCUGUGGGAAGGGCAGGCCCCAGUCAUGGAACUGGGGAAGCACCUUCAAAGCAGCAUAAAUAACAAGGAAAGGGGCUGGAAGUAAAAAGGAUGUGAUCUCUUCUCAGAACCACCUGGAGCCAUCAUAACUGGAGCACGUAGGUGGUGAAGAAAGACAUUAAAGAUCUGCAAAAAGAGAAACCAACAGAAAAAUGGAUCAUGCAGAGAAACACACAAGGAAAAUAUAUCGUGCAGCUGAUCUGGCGCACAAGGGGUGGUGCCCACCCCAGAACUGUCGUAUCCCAGACACAGCCCCGUGGUGGCUUCGGUGCUGGACUCAGAUUGCCUGCUGGGAUGUGGUUAUUUUUAAACCACUAGUGCCUGUUGGUGCCCUGUCCCUUCUUCCUUCUGCCUCUUUCUCUCUGGGUUCUUUACUCUCACCUAGAGCUGCCUCUUUAUAGAUCUCUUGGGAGGAUGGUGCUAUGAUGAAAUCUCAUUGCUACACUCCCUACCUCUCUGCCAAUUUGGGUUUAUUUCUGUUCAGACACGGAUUUGGCCAGCAGGGCUAUUGAAAGUUAUAUGCUGAAUUCAUUUCAGGUUGUUCCCCAAGCCUGGCCCACAAAAGGAAAUCAAGCAAAGGAUUCUCUGGCUGUUUUUAGGAGGCACAUUCUAGAGAAUGGAGAAUGCUGGGCUUUAGUGCCAGUGCCUCCAGGGGUGCGGAUGAUGACAGCUCAAGGCUGAUGUGUGUUUACAAUUGAUUUAUAUAUUUAUAUGAAAUGAUUUUCUAGAGCAGUUUUGGAAGGGAAAAGAAGCCACUGAAAGCAAUUUGAGGGAAUGAAUAACUUGAGGGAACAGCAGCGUGACUUACUUCACUUUGAUUAUAGGAGGUUUUUGUCUCAGAGUAUUGACAGCCUAAAUCUCAUUCUAUUAUACCUCCUUUUGCAUCUCUGCUUCAAAGUUGUAGAAACCAGUGAUCUGCCUGAAUUUGGUGACUGUUAGAGUAACCUGGGCUCCAAAAUCACUGCAGACUGUGACGGCAGCCAUGAAAUUAAAAGAUAUUUUCUCCUUGGAAGAAAAGCUAUGACAAACCUAAACAGAAUAUUACAAAGCAGAGACAUUACUUUGCCACCAAAAAGGUCCAUCUAGUCAAAGCCAUGGUUUUUCCAGUAGUCAUGUAUGGGUGUGAGAGUUGAACUAUAAAGAAAGCUGAAUGUCAAAGAACUGAUGCUUUUGAAUUGUGGCAUUGGAGAAGACUCUUGAGAGUCCCUUGGACAGCAAGGAGAUCCAACCAGUCCAUCCUAGAGGAAAUCAGUCCUGAAUAUUCAUCGGAAGGACUGAUGCUGAAGCUGAAACUCCAAUACUUUGGCCACCUGAUGCAAAGAACUGACUCAUUUGAAAAGACCCUGAUGCUGGGAAAGAUUGAAGGCAGGAGGAGAAGGGAUGACAGAUGAUGAGAUGGUUGGAUGGCAUCACCAACUCAAUGGACAGGAGUGUGAGCAAGCUCUGGGAGAUGAUGAAGGACAGGGAAGUCAGGUGUGUUGCAGUCCAUGGAGUCACAAAGAGUCAGACAUGAGUGAGCAACUGAAGAGCAACAGAGUCACUUGAAUGACAAAGCUCUCCUUGAAUACUUUCUUAGUACCUUCCAGGAGCCAAGGGAAGGCAGGCCCUUCUUUGCCCCAGCCAAGAUGUUAUUCUGGACACCAUGCCCUCUGUCAUGUGGAACACCUUCCGCUGUGGUUAAAAGCUGGAGCCAAAGAGCCAGCUCUGAGGCCAGGAUUGGGGAGGAGGAAUGCCAGGGUCUACUUCUCCCUCUAGGCAUUAAUGGAACACUGGCCGCCGUAAUCACUGAAUCUCAGUGUUACCAGGUUAAUAGUGGUUAAAAGAAAUAGUGACCUGAGACUAGCAUAGUCUUGAAUGGGACGCUGGAAACAGACAACUUGUCGCAAAGUUGGAUGUAAGAAGGAAGGUAAUAUUAAGUGGGAAAGGCGUUGCAAAUGCAGCUUCUCAAAUUGAUGCUCGUUGUUUAAUAAUAUCAGAGUGGGGAAGGGAGAGAAACCCAAAACAGAUGGAAAACAGGAUAAACAUGUACAGUGGGAAAAGCAGUGAAAUGACACUGGGGAGACUGGGCAUUGUCCUCUUCUCAUGGGCAGUGAUGUAGUUUGGGGAAAGUCACUUACUUUGCUCUGCCUUUUGUGAAAAGAAUUACAGCUGAGCCCAAAUUGCUUCCUAUAUAAAGUUGAUUUAAGAAUCAAAUCAAAUCAAACAUGUGAAAGCAUUUUCAAAAUGGGAAAGUCCUACCCAAAUAUCAGGGUUUAUUAAACUUUCUUAAUCCUGCCAUUCCACUGCCCUCUCCCCUUAGAGAACAGAAAACAUGUUGGCACAGGAUGAUGUUCACAGUUUUGAAGGAGGAGUAAGUUGUUGCCUUUGCACCCUUCCUGCUAACAUCUGUCACCCCAGCUCUGACAGCUGCUUCGAAGUUUUCACUCUGAAACUGCAGAAAUUACAUUUGCAAAGAAGGAUUGAAUGGGAAAUUGUCACCAUCAUUUUUUCACUGGGAAAACACAUUUUGAGACGAUCAAUGUGUAUCUGUAGCAAUAAAUGAUACAUAUCUUUGAAGUUUUGUUACACUUUAGCAUUAUUUGUCAGGUUAAAGUUAUAAAUAUAUAAGUAUAUUUAAAUAAAUGAAGAAUUUUGAAUGUUUACCAAAUGACCAUGCUUGAAUCAUCUGGAGAUAUGAAUCACCAACUCAGUGGACAUGAGUUUGAGCAAAUUCUGGGAGAUGGUGAUGGACAGGGAAGCCUGCCAUGCUGCAGUCCAUGGAGUUGCAAAGAGUUGGACAUGACCUAGUGACUAAACAGCAACACCAAAUGACCAUGCUUGUAUCAUCUGGAGAUAAGAGGGCUUGAACAAGGCUCCAACAAAAAAACCUCAGCAAACAAAGUCCUCUGGGAAUUGCAACCAGCACAGCAGUAAAGACAUCUUAAGACUUUUCAUGUUGUUUACAUUCUAGCAGAAGGAACUGAUAAAAUA